rnacentral:rRNA from 1 species
GAUGAACGCUGGCGGCGUGCUUAGCACAUGCAAGUCGAACGGGAAACCUUUUAUUGAAGCUUCGGCAGAUUUAGCUGGUUUCUAGUGGCGGACGGGUGAGUAACGCGUGGGUAACCUGCCUUAUACAGGGGGAUAACAGUCAGAAAUGGCUGCUAAUACCGCAUAAGCGCACAGAGCUGCAUGGCUCAGUGUGAAAAACUCCGGUGGUAUAAGAUGGACCCGCGUUGGAUUAGCUGGUUGGUGGGGUAACGGCCCACCAAGGCGACGAUCCAUAGCCGGCCUGAGAGGGUGAACGGCCACAUUGGGACUGAGACACGGCCCAGACUCCUACGGGAGGCAGCAGUGGGGAAUAUUGCACAAUGGGGGAAACCCUGAUGCAGCGACGCCGCGUGAAGGAAGAAGUAUCUCGGUAUGUAAACUUCUAUCAGCAGGGAAGAUAAUGACGGUACCUGACUAAGAAGCCCCGGCUAACUACGUG